UAGGGAAUCUUCGGCAAUGGGGGGAACCCUGACCGAGCAACGCCGCGUGAGUGAAGAAGGUUUUCGGAUCGUAAAGCUCUGUUGUUAAGGAAGAACGAGUGUGAGAAUGGAAAGUUCAUACUGUGACGGUACUUAACCAGAAAGGGACGGCUAACUACGUGCCAGCAGCCGCGGUAAUACGUAGGUCCCGAGCGUUGUCCGGAUUUAUUGGGCGUAAAGCGAGCGCAGGCGGUUAGAUAAGUCUGAAGUUAAAGGCAGUGGCUCAACCAUUGUAGGCUUUGGUAACUGUUUAACUUGAGUGCAGAAGGGGAGAGUGGAAUUCCAUGUGUAGCGGUGAAAUGCGUAGAUAUAUGGAGGAACACCGGUGGCGAAAGCGGCUCUCUGGUCUGUAACUGACGCUGAGGCUCGAAAGUGUGGGGAGCGAACAGG
rnacentral:rRNA from 1 species